rnacentral:rRNA from 1 species
CCUACGGGUGGCAGCAGUGGGGAAUAUUGGGCAAUGGACGCAAGUCUGACCCAGCAACGCCGCGUGAAGGAAGAAGGCUUUCGGGUUGUAAACUUCUUUUAAGGGGGAAGAGCAGAAGACGGUACCCCUUGAAUAAGCCACGGCUAACUACGUGCCAGCAGCCGCGGUAAUACGUAGGUGGCAAGCGUUGUCCGGAUUUACUGGGUGUAAAGGGCGUGCAGCCGGGAAGACAAGUCAGAUGUGAAAUCCCGCGGCUCAACCGCGGAACUGCAUUUGAAACUGUUUUUCUUGAGUAUCGGAGAGGUAAUCGGAAUUCCUAGUGUAGCGGUGAAAUGCGUAGAUAUUAGGAAGAACACCAGUGGCGAAGGCAGCUUACCAAGCUACUUCUGACGUUGAGGCACGAAAGCGUGGGGAGCAAACAGGAUUAGAUACCCCAGUAGUC